GCCGUCAUAGCUCAGUUGGAUAGAGCACAGGACUUCUAAUCCUGGGGUCAUUUUAUCAAUAUUUGGAAGGAA